GAACACCAAGACUUGGAAUGAUGCAAAGACAAUCUGCGAACAAAGUGGUUUGUCUUUGGUCACAAUCUCUUCCUCGACGAAACAAUACUUCAUUGAAAAAUAUCUUCAAAACGAAUGGGCUGAUCUUGUCUCAGGAAAUGUAUGGACGGGAUUACAUGAAAUAGAUUCGUCAGACGGAUCAAAAGUAAAAUGGAUCGACUGCAGCAAUGUAACCUAUCACAAGUACGUCACGGCACCGAGUUCAGUGGCAGACGACAAUAAAUGCUUUUCAAUUAAUCCGACAACAGGACAAUGGAAGACGGAGAGAUGCGAUGUGAAAUUAAGCUUUAUAUGCGAAGUAAAUUUAGGACUUUGUGAUUUUGACCGAUUCUAUCCGAACACCGGAUGUGGAGUAUCUUUGAAACAAUCAGAGGAGUACAG